rnacentral:piRNA from 1 species
UNGAGAGAGAACUCAAGACUUGGGUG